rnacentral:tRNA from 1 species
UGGCUCAGACAGUAGAGAAUCUGCCUUCAAUGCAGUAGGUCCUGGGUUCGAUCCCCAG